rnacentral:rRNA from 1 species
GGGUUGUGAGGUUAAGUGACUAAGCGUACACGGUGGAUGCCUAGGCAGUCAGAGGCGAUGAAGGGCGUGCUAAUCUGCGAAAAGCGUCGGUAAGGUGAUAUGAACCGUUAUAACCGGCGAUACCCGAAUGGGGAAACCCAGUGUGUUUCGACACACUAUCAUGUCAUGAAUACAUAGUGGCAUGAGGCGAACCGGGGGAACUGAAACAUCUAAGUACCCCGAGGAAAAGAAAUCAACCGAGAUUCCCCCAGUAGCGGCGAGCGAACGGGGAGGAGCCCAGAACCUGAAUCGGCUUGUGUGUUAGUGGAAGCGUCUGGAAAGUCGCGCAGCAAAGGGUGAUAGCCCCGUACACUAAAAUGCACAGGUCGUGAGUUCGAUGAGUAGGGCGGGACACGUGACAUCCUGUCUGAAUAUGGGGGGACCAUCCUCCAAGGCUAAAUACUCCUGACUGACCGAUAGUGAACCAGUACCGUGAGGGAAAGGCGAAAAGAACCCCGGCGAGGGGAGUGAAAUAGAACCUGAAACCGUGUACGUACAAGCAGUGGGAGCACCUUCGUGGUGUGACUGCGUACCUUUUGUAUAAUGGGUCAGCGACUUAUAUUUUGUAGCAAGGUUAACCGUAUAGGGGAGCCGUAGGAAACCGAGUCUUAACUGGGCGAAUAGUUGCAAGGUAUAGACCCGAAACCCGGUGAUCUAGCCAUGGGCAGGUUGAAGGUUGGGUAACACUAACUGGAGGACCGAACCGACUAAUGUUGAAAAAUUAGCGGAUGACUUGUGGCUGGGGGUGAAAGGCCAAUCAAACCGGGAGAUAGCUGGUUCUCCCGAAAGCUAUUUAGGUAGCGCCUCGUGAACUCAUCUUCGGGGGUAGAGCACUGUUUCGGCUAGGGGGCCAUCCCGGCUUACCAAACCGAUGCAAACUCCGAAUACCGAAGAAUGUUAUCACGGGAGACACACGGCGGGUGCUAACGUCCGUCGUGAAGAGGGAAACAACCCAGACCGCCAGCUAAGGUCCCAAAGUCAUGGUUAAGUGGGAAACGAUGUGGGAAGGCACAGACAGCCAGGAUGUUGGCUUAGAAGCAGCCAUCAUUUAAAGAAAGCGUAAUAGCUCACUGGUCGAGUCGGCCUGCGCGGAAGAUGUAACGGGGCUAAACCAUGCACCGAAGCUGCGGCAGCGACGCUUAGGCGUUGUUGGGUAGGGGAGCGUUCUGUAAGCCGUUGAAGGUGGCCUGUGAGGGUUGCUGGAGGUAUCAGAAGUGCGAAUGCUGACAUAAGUAACGAUAAAGCGGGUGAAAAGCCCGCUCGCCGGAAGACCAAGGGUUCCUGUCCAACGUUAAUCGGGGCAGGGUGAGUCGACCCCUAAGGCGAGGCUGAAAAGCGUAGUCGAUGGGAAACAGGUUAAUAUUCCUGUACUUGGUGUUACUGCGAAGGGGGGACGGAGAAGGCUAGGCUGGCCGGGCGACGGUUGUCCCGGUUUAAGCGUGUAGGGGGUGUGACCUGGUAAAUCCGGUUGCAUAUCAACCCUGAGGCGUGAUGACGAUGCACUACGGUGCAGAAGUAGUUGAUGCCCUGCUUCCAGGAAAAUCCUCUAAGCUCCAGGUAACAUUGAAUCGUACCCCAAACCGACACAGGUGGUCAGGUAGAGAAUACCAAGGCGCUUGAGAGAACUCGGGUGAAGGAACUAGGCAAAAUGGUGCCGUAACUUCGGGAGAAGGCACGCUGGCAUGUAGGUGAAGUCCCUUGCGGAUGGAGCUGAAGCCAGUCGAAGAUACCAGCUGGCUGCAACUGUUUAAUAAAAACACAGCACUGUGCAAACACGAAAGUGGACGUAUACGGUGUGACGCCUGCCCGGUGCUGGAAGGUUAAUUGAUGGGGUCAGCCGCAAGGCGAAGCUCUUGAUCGAAGCCCCAGUAAACGGCGGCCGUAACUAUAACGGUCCUAAGGUAGCGAAAUUCCUUGUCGGGUAAGUUCCGACCUGCACGAAUGGCGUAAUGAUGGCCAGGCUGUCUCCACCCGAGACUCAGUGAAAUUGAACUCGCUGUGAAGAUGCAGUGUACCCGCGGCAAGACGGAAAGACCCCGUGAACCUUUACUAUAGCUUGACACUGAACAUUGAGCCUUGAUGUGUAGGAUAGGUGGGAGGCUUUGAAGCGUGGACGCCAGUCUGCGUGGAGCCAUCCUUGAAAUACCACCCUUUAAUGUUUGAUGUUCUAACUCUGCCCCGUAAUCCGGGGUGAGGACAGUGUCUGGUGGGUAGUUUGACUGGGGCGGUCUCCUCCCAAAGAGUAACGGAGGAGCACGAAGGUUAGCUAAUCACGGUCGGACAUCGUGAGGUUAGUGCAAAGGCAUAAGCUAGCUUGACUGCGAGAGUGACGGCUCGAGCAGGUACGAAAGUAGGUCUUAGUGAUCCGGUGGUUCUGAAUGGAAGGGCCAUCGCUCAACGGAUAAAAGGUACUCCGGGGAUAACAGGCUGAUACCGCCCAAGAGUUCAUAUCGACGGCGGUGUUUGGCACCUCGAUGUCGGCUCAUCACAUCCUGGGGCUGAAGUAGGUCCCAAGGGUAUGGCUGUUCGCCAUUUAAAGUGGUACGCGAGCUGGGUUUAGAACGUCGUGAGACAGUUCGGUCCCUAUCUGCCGUGGGCGUUGGAAGAUUGAGAGGGGUUGCUCCUAGUACGAGAGGACCGGAGUGAACGCACCACUGGUGUUCGGGUUGUCAUGCCAAUGGCAUUGCCCGGUAGCUAAGUGCGGAAAAGAUAAGCGCUGAAAGCAUCUAAGCGCGAAACUUGCCUCAAGAUGAGUCUUCCCUUGGACUUUGAGUCCACUGAAGGAACGUUUAAGACUAAGACGUUGAUAGGCUGGGUGUGUAAGUGCAGCGAUGCAUUGAGCUAACCAGUACUAAUGAUCCGUGAGGCUUAACCUUACAACACCGAAGGUGUUUUAG